UACGUAGGGGGCGAGCGUUGUCCGGAUUUAUUGGGCGUAAAGAGCUCGUAGGCGGUUUGGUAAGUUGGAUGUGAAAUCUCCAGGCUCAACUUGGAGGGGUCAUUCGAUACUGCCAUGACUAGAGUUCGGUAGGGGAGUGUGGAAUUCCUGGUGGAGCGGUGAAAUGCGCAGAUAUCAGGAGGAACACCGGUGGCGAAGGCGGUUCUCUGGGCCUUACCUGACGCUGAGGAGCGAAAGCGUGGGGAGCGAACAGG
rnacentral:rRNA from 1 species